rnacentral:sRNA from 1 species
AAGCCAUCAUGCUCGCAUGUAAUGCUUAUGACCUUGGUAGAUGAACGGACAUGAGGAAGUAGCCAUUUGCGUAGCAAAUGUGCGGAUUCCGAAUGGCCGUAGGAUUGCGAGAGCUCGAAGAGAGUAGCAAUCCGU